rnacentral:misc_RNA from 1 species
AAUGGAACAAACCCAAUAAACAGAGCCACCCAAGACCCCCUUAAGCCGUCUUCAAUUAUCGAUAUAGUGACAACAGCGGUACUGUUGGUAGUACCAAGGAAAAAGUUGUAGAGAAAUUGAAGAAGCAUGAGAUGGAGAUGCUGAUGCUGAUGAAAAGAAAAGAGAAAAAACUAUAGAAAAUGACACAGAAAGGGAGCGUUUUGAUCCAAUGGCUUAAGAAAUACUAUGAUUUAAAAAAAAG